AGCUGAUAUCAGGCACGCCCAAAACAUCUAGCCAUGCCACACCCACAAGGGUACUCAGCAGUGAUUAACAUUAAAAAUAAACGUCAGUUUGAUUUAGUUAAUGAAAAUAGAGCCGGCCAAGCCGGUGCCAGCCGCCGCGGUUAAACCAAGUGGCUCAAGUUGAUUCGGCGUAAAGCGUGAUUAAAGUGGGGUUGAAAUUAAACUAGGCUGUAGAAAGCUUGUUCUUAAGAAACUCCACCCGAAAGAAACCCCAUAAACCAACUUGAAUUCACGACAGCUGGUGCACAAACUGGGAUUAGGUACCCCACUAUGACUAGCCGUAAACUAAUUUACCCCGCCAGGGAACUACGAGCAAAGCUUAAAACCCAAAGGACUUGACGGUACCCCAUAUCCCCCUAGAGGAGCCUGUACCAUAACCGAUAACCCACGUUUAACCCAACCAUUUUUUGCAGCCUGUAUACUUCCGUCGUCAGCUUGCCGCAUGAGCGAGCGAGCCUAAUGCCAAUACGUCAGGUCAAAGUGCAGCAAAUAAGAUGGCAGGAGAUGGGCUACACUUUCUACCCUAGAAAAAACGAAAGAUUAAAUGAAACAGAAGGUGGAUUUAGCAGUAAGGGAAAAUUAAAGUACUUCCCUUAACCCGGCAUCGGGGUAUGUACACACCGCCCGUCACCCUCUUC
rnacentral:rRNA from 1 species